GGCAGUUGGUGUAUCUAUUAAAGGAUGAAUUAAAGACAAACAUGACUUGGAUGUUAGGGUAGCACACUGCUCCAGAGAGUAGUUCAACUCUUAUCCCUACUGGAAUCACUUGUUUACAGUACAGAGUAGCGAUCACUCACCCCACCCUCUAGAGUAAAGGUGGCAUGCAAUAGUGAAGCUGUGAAGACUGGUGGAACCACAAAUAGAAGGGUCCUAAGUCCCAGAAUUACCAUGGAAGAAAGUCUCCUGCAAAUUGGAUAUACCAAGGGGAUGAACUCUUCCAUCAUCUCAUAAAAAUAUCAGGCCUUGAAGCAACAUAAAGAGAGAAAACAUGCAAGGCAAUGUGUCUCCCGUCUCUGAUUUAUUCAUCUCAACUGGAUAUGAGGUAGUUGGAAUUGAAGGCAUCUGACAAAUGUGAGACAAACACGAGUGAUUGAGAUUGAAGAAAGACUGGAGUAGUUACUGUGGAGAAUGCAAAAGGAUGGUUAUUCAAGGUACAGGGACCCAGCUUCUCCUUGAUGGCAGGAUUGAUCAUCACAACCCUUUUCUGACAGUUGACCUAGGAGCACAGGAGGCAAAGAAUAAUUGACAGAAGGCAUAGAAUUACAACCUUGACAGCCAACACUAUCUACAGAAGAAGGAGAAACAGGUUGUUCUGUAUUUUUUUUCAACGUAUUAGCUGUCCAAGGGAAAAAGAUAGAAGCAGAGCCAUGAUAAGCAAAUGACAAAAUUUAAAAAUAUAUAUUUAUAGUAACAAGGUCUAAAUUGGGAGAAUAUCUGGUUUUCCAAAAUGAAUACAAGGGACUCUAGAAAAAUAAUGAAAAACAUUCAACAAUAACGGUCAGCUGAUGGUAAUUGAAAAUAUAUUAUACACAGGAUGUGAAAUCUUCAUGUAUGGACGAUCGGCUUUUUGUAUACACAGAUUUAGCAGGUCAGACUGUGGGAUUUGAGUAAGCAUGGAGUUUGGUAUAUGUGGG